rnacentral:rRNA from 1 species
UACGUAGGGUGCAAGCGUUGUCCGGAAUUAUUGGGCGUAAAGAGCUCGUAGGCGGUCUGUCGCGUCGGCUGUGAAAACCCGGAGCUCAACUCCGGGCCUGCAGUCGAUACGGGCAAACUGGAGUGUUGCAGGGGAGACUGGAAUUCCUGGUGUAGCGGUGAAAUGCGUAGAUAUGUGGAGGAACACCUGUGGCGAAGGCGCCUUGCUGGCCAAUUUCUGACGCUGAGGCGCGAAAGCGUGGGGAGCAAACAGG